UACGUAGGUGGCAAGCGUUGUCCGGAUUUACUGGGCGUAAAGAGCGCGCAGGCGGUCGUUCAAGUCGCGUGUGAAAGCCCCCCGGCUCAACUGGGGAGGGUCACGCGAUACUGAUCGACUCGAAGGCAGGAGAGGGAAGUGGAAUUCCCGGUGUAGUGGUGAAAUGCGUAGAUAUCGUAAGGAAGACCAGUGGCGAAGGCGGCUCACUGGCCCGGUACUGACGCCUGAGGUGCGAAAGCGUGGGGAGCAAACAGG
rnacentral:rRNA from 1 species